rnacentral:rRNA from 1 species
GUGCCAGCCGCCGCGGUAAUACCGGCAGCUCAAGUGAUGUCCCAUAUUAUUGGGCCUAAAGCGUCCGUAGCUGGGUCUGAAAGUCCAUCGGGAAAUCCACUCGCUCAACGAGUGGCCGUCCGGUGGAAACUCCACACCUUGGGACCGGAAGGCUCGAAGGGUACGUUCGGGGUAGGAGUGAAAUCCUAUAAUCCCGCACGGACCACCGAUGGCGAAAGCACCUCGAGAAAACGGAUCCGACAGUGAGGGACGAAAGCCAGGGUCUCCAACCGGAUUAGAAACCCCUGUAGUCC